rnacentral:rRNA from 1 species
AGCGAACGUUAGCGGCGGGCCUAACACAUGCAAGUCGAACGCGAAAGGUCUUCGGACUGAGUAGGGUGGCGCACGGGUGAGUAACACGUAGGUAAUCUACCCUUUGGCGGGGGAUAACGUUCCGAAAGGAGCGCUAAUACCGCAUAAGACCACGGAGUCUCCGGACGCUGUGGGAAAAGGUGGCCUCUUCUUGAAAGCUACCACCGAAGGAUGAGCCUGCGUCCCAUCAGCUAGUUGGUAAGGUAAUGGCUUACCAAGGCGAAGACGGGUAGCUGGUUUGAGAGAAUGAUCAGCCACACUGGCACUGGAACACGGGCCAGACUCCUACGGGAGGCAGCAGUGAGGAAUAUUGGGCAAUGGGCGAAAGCCUGACCCAGCCACGCCGCGUGAGUGAUGAAGGCCCUCGGGUCGUAAAGCUCUGUGGAGAGGGACGAAAACCCUGGUUUCAAAUAGGCUCCAGGCUUGACGGUACCUCUUUAGCAAGCACCGGCUAACUCUGUGCCAGCAGCCGCGGUAAAG